UGCGUGGUGGUCCAGAAGGUCUGGACUGGAGUGAGUGAAGAUGAGUUUAGCAUGAAGAUAAAAGAAAGAAGAUGUUUCUAGAUGAUUUGGGUCGAUUCAGUUCGAUUCGGUUCGAAUCUUUGGUUUGCAUUUGAUUUUCGAAUUUUUAACUGAUUUUUCAGUUCGGUUUAUCACGGUGCGAAUUAUUAA